rnacentral:rRNA from 1 species
AGGUUGGCUCAGAAGCAGCCAUCCUUUAAAGAGUGCGUAACAGCUCACUAGUCGAGUGACCCUGCGCCGAAAAUGUACCGGGGCUAAGCCUGAUACCGAAACUGCGGAUUGUAGGAAACUAUAGUGGUAGGGGAGCGUUGUAUACGAGCAGAAGCCGUACCGUGAGGAGCGGUGGAUUGUAUAGAAGUGAGAAUGCCGGUGUGAGUAGCGAGAUGUAGGUGAGAAUCCUACACACCGAAAGCCCAAGGAUUCCAGGGGAAGGUUCGUCCGCCCUGGGUAAGUCGGGACCUAACGCGAGGCCGAAAGGCGUAGUGGAUGGAAAGCAGGCGAAAGAUUCCUGCACCCGUAUAUGGAGCGAAGGAGUGACGGAGACGGAUAGUGUGACCCUCUUAAUGGAUUGAGGGCGAAGCGAAGCGGCUGGUUACCAGGCAAAUCCGGUAACCAAAAGGCUAGAGCGUGACAGGUAAGCGAAAUCUUAGGAAAGUAGCGAAGCACAUGAUGACGGCUUCCAGGAAAAGCUUCUGGCAAUGCAUAUGCGGCCCGUACCAAAACCGACACAGGUGGGCAGGGAGAGAAUCCCGAGGUGAGCGAGAGAACUGUUGCCAAGGAACUCGGCAAAAUGACUCCGUAAGUUAGCGAGAAGGAGUGCUUAAGCAAUUAAGCCGCAGUGAAGAGGCCCAAGCGACUGUUUAACUAAAACACAGCUCUCUGCGAAGUCGCAAGACGAAGUAUAGGGGGUGACACCUGCCCGGUGCUGGAAGGUUAAGAGGAUCUGUUAAGAGCGAUCUGAAGCAGUGAUCCGAAGCCCCAGUGAACGGCGGCCGUAACUAUAACGGUCCUAAGGUAGCGAAAUUCCUUGUCAGGUAAGUUCUGACCCGCACGAAAGGUGUAACGAUUUGGGCGCUGUCUCGGCAGCAGACUCGGUGAAAUCUUAGUACCUGUGAAAAUGCAGGUUACCCGCAACUAGACGGAAAGACCCCAUGGAGCUUUACUGCAGCCUGAUAUUGAAUUCUGGUCAUACAUGUACAGGAUAGGUGGGAGACAAAGAGACGUGCACGCCAGUGUACGAGGAGUCGACGUUGGGAUACCACUCUUGUGUGACCGGGGUUCUAACCUGGUAUCGAGAACAGGUACGGGGAGAGUGUCAGGUGGGCAGUUUGACUGGGGCGGUCGCCUCCCAAAGAGUAACGGAGGCGCCCAAAGGUACGCUCAGAUUGGAUGGAAACCAAUCGUCGAGUGCAAUUGCAGAAGCGUGCUUGACUGUGAGACAAACAAGUCGAACAGGGACGAAAGUCGGGAAUAGUGAUCCGGCGGUGCCGAAUGGAAGGGCCGUCGCUCAACGGAUAAAAGCUACCCUGGGGAUAACAGGCUGAUCUCCCCCAA